rfam:Triticum aestivum genome assembly, contig: Triticum_aestivum_CS42_TGACv1_scaffold_621924_7DS
AUGACCUUACUUGAACAGGAUCUGUUCUAUAGGCUCGUACCGCUGCAUCCUUUACCAAUAUAUAAGGAGGCAAGCACUUUAGUCUGGUGGAUGCAAUCUGACCUCUGGGCCAGAGCGUGAUUAAUGGCCUGGAAUUCACCUGAUGGGCA